UACGUAGGGGGCAAGCGUUAUCUGGAUUUACUGGGUGUAAAGGGAGCGUAGACGGCAUAGCAAGUCUGAAGUGAAAGCCCGUGGCUCAACCGCGGAACUGCUUUGGAAACUGUUAAGCUGGAGUACUGGAGAGGCAAGCGGAAUUCCUAGUGUAGCGGUGAAAUGCGUAGAUAUUAGGAGGAACACCAGUGGCGAAGGCGGCUUGCUGGACAGAGACUGACGUUGAGGCUCGAAAGCGUGGGGAGCAAACAGG
rnacentral:rRNA from 1 species